CAGCCGCCGCGGGAAUACGAAGGGGGCUAGCGUUGUUCGGAUUUACUGGGCGUAAAGCGCACGUAGGCGGACAUUUAAGUCAGGGGUGAAAUCCCAGAGCUCAACUCUGGAACUGCCUUUGAUACUGGGUGUCCGGAGUAUGGAAGAGGUAAGUGGAAUUCCGAGUGUAGAGGUGAAAUUCGUAGAUAUUCGGAGGAACACCAGUGGCGAAGGCGGCUUACUGGUCCAUUACUGACGCUGAGGAGCGAAAGCGUGGGGAGCGAACAGGAUUAGAUACCCCAGUAGUCCCUGUCUCUUAUAC
rnacentral:rRNA from 1 species